GAUGAACGCUGGCGGCGUGCCUAAUACAUGCAAGUCGAGCGAAUGGAUUGAGAGCUUGCUCUUAUGAAGUUAGCGGCGGACGGGUGAGUAACACGUGGGUAACCUGCCCAUAAGACUGGGAUAACUCCGGGAAACCGGGGCUAAUACCGGAUAACAUUUUGAACCGCAUGGUUCGAAAUUGAAAGGCGGCUUCGGCUGUCACUUAUGGAUGGACCCGCGUCGCAUAGCUAGUUGGUGAGGUAACGGCUCACCAAGGCAACGAUGCGUAGCCGACCUGAGAGGGUGACCGGGCACACUGGGACUGAGACACGGCCCAGACUCCUACGGGAGGCAGCAGUAGGGAAUCUUCCGCAAUGGACGAAAGUCUGACGGAGCAACGCCGCGUGAGUGAUGAAGGCUUUCGGGUCGUAAAACUCUGUUGUUAGGGAAGAACAAGUGCUAGUUGAAUAAGCUGGCACCUUGACGGUACCUAACCAGAAAGCCACGGCUAACUACGUGCCAGCCGCCGCCGUAA
rnacentral:rRNA from 1 species